UACAGAGGGGGCAAGCGUUGUUCGGAAUUACUGGGCGUAAAGGGCGCGUAGGCGGCCCGCUAAGUCGAACGUGAAAUCCCCGAGCUCAACUCGGGAACCUGCGUCCGAUACUGGCGGGCUUGAAUCCGGGAGAGGGAUGCGGAAUUCCCGGUGUAGCGGUGAAAUGUGUAGAGAUCGGGAGGAACACCGGUGGCGAAGGCGGGUCUCUGGGCAAUUCCUGACGCUGAGGCGCGAAAGCGUGGGGAGCAAACGGG
rnacentral:rRNA from 1 species